rnacentral:rRNA from 1 species
UGAACGGCCACAUUGGGACUGAGAUACGGCCCAGACUCCUACGGGAGGCAGCAGUCGGGAAUAUUGCGCAAUGGAGGAAACUCUGACGCAGUGACGCCGCGUAUAGGAAGAAGGUUUUCGGAUUGUAAACUAUUGUCGUUAGGGAAGAUACAAGACAGUACCUAAGGAGGAAGCUCCGGCUAACUACGUGCCAGCAGCCGCGGUAAUACGUAGGGAGCAAGCGUUAUCCGGAUUUAUUGGGUGUAAAGGGUGCGUAGACGGGAAAGCAAGUUAGUUGUGAAAUCCCUCGGCUUAACUGAGGAACUGCAACUAAAACUGUUUUUCUUGAGUGUUGGAGAGGAAAGUGGAAUUCCUAGUGUAGCGGUGAAAUGCGUAGAUAUUAGGAGGAACACCGGUGGCGAAGGCGACUUUCUGGACAAUAACUGACGUUGAGGCACGAAAGUGUGGGGAGCAAACAGGAUUAGAUACCCUGGUAGUCCACACCGUAAACGAUGGAUACUAGGUGUAGGAAAUGAUUUCAUUUUCUGUGCCGUCGCAAACGCAAUAAGUAUCCCACCUGGGGAGUACGGCCGCAAGGUUGAAACUCAAAGGAAUUGACGGGGGCCCGCACAAGCGGUGGAGUAUGUGGUUUAAUUCGACGCAACGCGAAGAACCUUACCAAGGCUUGACAUAUACAGGAAUAUGUUAGAAAUAACAUAGCUCUUCGGAGCUUGUAUACAGGUGGUGCAUGGUUGUCGUCAGCUCGUGUCGUGAGAUGUUAGGUUAAGUCCUGCAACGAGCGCAACCCCUGUGAUUAGUUGCCAACAGGUUAAGCUGGGAACUCUAAUCAGACUGCCGGUGAUAAAUCGGAGGAAGGUGGGGAUGACGUCAAAUCAUCAUGCCCUUUAUGUCUUGGGCUACACACGUACUACAAUGGCUGUAACAGAGAGAAGCAACACCGCGAGGUAGAGCGAAACUCCAAAAGCAGUCUCAGUUCGGAUUGAAGGCUGAAAUUCGCCUUCAUGAAGCCGGAAUUGCUAGUAAUGGCAGGUCAGCAUACUGCCGUGAAUACGUUCCCGGGCCUUGUACACACCGCCCGUCACACCAUGAGAGUUGGGAAUACCCGAAGCCUGUGAGCCAACUAAUUUAUUAGAGGCAGCAGUCGAAGGUAGAAUCAAUGAUUGGGGUGAAGUCGUAACAAGGUAGCCGUAUCAGAAGGUGCGGCUG